rnacentral:tRNA from 1 species
AUCUCAGGUAGCACAGUAGGUCAGAGUGGCUGGCUGUUAACCAGAAGGUUGGUGGUUGAAGCCUACCCAGGGAUA